CUCUCUCUCUGUGUGUGUGUGUGUGAGAGAGAGAGAGAGAGAGAGAGAGAGAGAGAGAGAGAGAGAGCGCUGCUGAAGGUGUGUUAUUGAUUGAAUUGAUCAAAGCCUAUGCUGGGAUGGGAGUCCCAUCCAACAUGAACACCUUUCAGCUCUUCUACCAAAUCUGUCACCAUGGCCUCUUCCAAUCCAGUCACCAGCUCUUCCCUCUGUCACCCCUCCCCCUCAUCUCUGUUACCAUGUUAAGUCUGUAUGCAGGAGCCGAAUCCUGAAUUCCUCAUGAGAGCAGUCUCUGCCCCAACUUUACUGAUUUGAAAUAUUUUGGUUUUAGUUCUUUGGUCAAGGUCAGUGUUGGAGUUUAAAAUCUGUGUCAGAUUGUUAAAAAUCCACGAGCAGGGUUGGAGAGAUGCUAAGUGCUCUUCCAGAGAACUCAGGUUCCCAGCACCCACAUCAGGCAGCUCACAAUCAUCUGAAACUCCAAUUCCAGGGGAUCAGACACCCUCUCUGGCCUCCCUGCACACAGUGUAUAUCAACUCACACAGGCACUGCACGUACACAUAUAAAUAAAUGUUUUUAAAAACCCAUAGAUAUGAUACAUCUUUAAUCUAAGCACUAUAGGAGACAGAGACAUGCAGAUCUCAGAGUUCAAGGUCACUCUACAGAGCAAGUUCCAGGAAAGGCAAGCUUAGGCAGAAAGAGUCAGAAAACAGAAAGCUGGUAAUAGAAUAAGGGGGAUCAUGUUCCAGCCCCAUAAAGCGGCAGAACAUGGCAGCUUUGGCCAUAUGGUUCUGGCUUUAGAGCGAAAGAUAGAAGAGACUACUGGGACAAUUGAUGCUGGUUCGCUGGACCUAAGAAAUUAGCACUGAUUAAGAAGAGACCAGCAGCAUGAUGACCACAACAUUGUGAGUCUGAGGUCCACAUCAUAAUUAAAAAAAAAAAAAAGAAGAGACCAGCAUCACUGAGGUGAAAUCUUCUGGGAAGUGUUUGCUGAGAGCACAAAGAAGCUGUGUCCCAGAGAUAGCCAAGGUUGUAUCUCAUGCUGUAGCUGGACUUGGUAAUGUGUAAGGCUCACCCAAGUGGUACUGCUUUUGAAGGCCUGGAGGGGUCAUAAAGAGCAGCUGAGGCUUGGCACUGUGAGAGGCCACAGAAGGCCAUUGGUGAAGGUGCAGCCUCAGUUGUAGUUGAUGGCCCAGGACUGAAGGGGUCAUGCAAAGGGUUUGAGGCUUGGCACCAUGAAGAGAGCUUAAGAGAGGGCUAUUGGUGAAGCCUAGUUGCAGCAGAAAACCCCAGUGUACUGGAGAUGUCAGUGCCAUGGGAUGACCACCAAGAACAACAGCAGCAGCGGAGUGGGUCAACCUGAGCUUAGAGCGCUACAGAGGGCAGAGCUGGAGAAGUGAUGCCAGCCCUUUGGAGGGGCCCAGAAGAUCAUGUGUGGAUCCCAGACAUUGAAAUAAGCUUUAGUACGGAAGUUGCCUUGAAGACCCCAAAAUGCUUGAGAUGUCAGAGCCUUGGGCUAUCUGCUGAGGAAAGAUUCUAACAGGGAGGGGAACCAGCCCAGGAGAAAGAAGUUUGUGGUAGUCAACAAAGAUGAAAAAGUUGGAGAUCUGAAGACCACAUUGACAUCAGACAUAGAGAUGCAGGGUUUGGAGUUUUCCCAGCUGGUUUCCUGUCUCACUUUGGGGAAUACUGUUAAAUGAUUGGAUGAAUCUCAGAAAAGACUUUAAACUUUGGACUUUUAACAUUGUUGAGACUGCUAUAGACUACGGGGCUUUGGAAGUUGGACUAGAUGUGUUUUGCAUCACACUAUGUUUAGGUAUGGUCCCCACAGACUCAAGCCUCUGGGGCCAGGGAGUGGAAUGAAUGUGAUGGUUUGUAUGUACUCGGCCCAGGGAAUGGCACUAUUAAAGGUGUGGUCCUGCUGGAGUAGGUGUGUCACUGUGGGUGUGAGCUUUAAGACCCUCAUCCUAGCUGCCUGGAAGCCAGUAUUCUGCUAGCAGCCUUCAGAUGAAGAUGUGGAACGCAGCUCCUCCUGCCCCAUGCCUGCCUGGAUGCUGCCAUGUUCCUGCCUUGAUGAUAAUGGACUGAACCUCUGAACCUAGUGACCCGAUCAGAAUCCAGGUUAACUGCUGCCUUACUCAUCACCACAAGGAAAGGAACCAGCCCAGCUGUUCACCAACUAGUGCCAGGACAAUGAAAACAUGGAUGCACGUGCAACGGAAUUGUACCCAUUUAUAAAAGAAAAAAACCCACGACGUUGGCAGAAAACUGGAUGGAUUGGGGAAACGCUGUGUUAAAUGAGGUGACCUAGACUCAGAAAAACCCAAAUCACGUGUUCUCUUUCACAUGAAGGUCCUCUCAUAAAGUCUGUACACGAGCAUAUAAUAAAUAGGUAUGCAUAUAGAUCCUGAACUAGGAAGGAGAACAGAAGAAAGGAG
ensembl:lncRNA